GACGAACGCUGGCGGCGUGCUUAACACAUGCAAGUCGAACGAGGUCCAACCAAUGGCAACAUUGGGGAAGACCUAGUGGCGAACGGGUGAGUAACACGUGAGGAACCUGCCCCGAAGACCGGGAUAACCCUCCGAAAGGAGAGCUAAUACCGGAUGUCCCCACCGGACCGCAUGAUCUGGUGAGGAAAUGGAUUCCGCUUCGGGAGGGCCUCGCGGCCUAUCAGCUUGUUGGUGGGGUAACGGCCCACCAAGGCUUCGACGGGUAGCUGGUCUGAGAUGACGAUCAGCCACACUGGGACUGAGACACGGCCCAGACUCCUACGGGAGGCAGCAGUGGGGAAUCUUGCGCAAUGGGCGAAAGCCUGACGCAGCAACGCCGCGUGGGGGGUGAAGGCUCUCGGGUUGUAAACCCCUUUCAGCAGGGACGAAACUGACGGUACCUGCAGAAGAAGCCCCGGCCAACUACGUGCCAGCCGCCGCGGUAACAC
rnacentral:rRNA from 1 species